AGAAAAGUAUUUAAAGUUUAUAAAAAUUAGUUUGCAACUAUAAAUUGGUAUUUUUUACCCUUUUCUA
rnacentral:tRNA from 1 species